rnacentral:rRNA from 1 species
AACGCGAAGAACCUUACCUACUCUUGACAUCUAGCGAAGAUUGUAGAGAUACGAUUGUGCCUUCGGGAACGCUAAGACAGGUGCUGCAUGGCUGUCGUCAGCUCGUGUUGUGGAAUGUUGGGUUAAGUCCCGCAACGAGCGCAACCCUUAUCCUUAGUUGCCAGCACGUAAUGGUGGGAACUCUAGGGAGACUGCCGGUGAUAAACCGGAGGAAGGUGGGGACGACGUCAAGUCAUCAUGGCCCUUACGAGUAGGGCUACACACGUGCUACAAUGGUACGUACAGAGGGAGGCAAGCUGGCGACAGUGAGCGGAUCUCUUAAAGCGUAUCGUAGUCCGGAUCGCAGUCUGCAACUCGACUGCGUGAAGUCGGAAUCGCUUGUAAUCGCAAAUCAGAAUGUUGCGGUGAAUACGUUCCCGGGCCUUGUACACACCG